UACGGAGGGGGCUAGCGUUGUUCGGAAUUACUGGGCGUAAAGCGCACGUAGGCGGCUUUGUAAGUUAGAGGUGAAAGCCCGGGGCUCAACUCCGGAAUUGCCUUUAAGACUGCAUCGCUAGAAUUGUGGAGAGGUAAGUGGAAUUCCGAGUGUAGAGGUGAAAUUCGUAGAUAUUGGGAAGAACACCGGUGGCGAAGGCGGCUCACUGGCUCGUAACUGACGCUCAGGCGCGACAGCGUGGGGAUCAAACAGG
rnacentral:rRNA from 1 species